GGCUGAAAGGGGGCGGGGCUAAAAGGGACGGGGUUCUUCUCAUUGGUGGGAGGUAAAGGGGGGCGGGGCUUCAUGAAGGGCGGGGCGGGGCUUAGAGGUGCGACGGGGUUUCAUUGGUGGAGGGUUCAGGGGCGGAGCUGAAAGGGGCGGGGCUUUAGGGAACCGGAGUUCUCAUUGGUGGGUGGUAUGGGGGGGGGUGUGGCUUAAAGGGGGGCGGGGCAUAAAGGGUGACACAGAUGGCGACAGGAUGCCGCUGGUGGUGACAAGGUGACACUGGCGGUGACACGGAGGUGACACAGCGGUUGCCACCACCGCCACCGCCUCGUCCCCGUCCCCAGGUUCUGCGCUGGCCCUCGUGCCGCGGCCGCUUGCACGCCGAGCUGCGCCUCCCCCCCCGUGACAACCACGACGGUGACGUCACGCCCGGCUCACGUGACGGGGGCCCCGGGUCACGUGACGAGGGCCCCGGGUCACGUGACGCCGGGCCGGGGCUGUGCGUGACCUUUGACCCCUGGGGGGCGCGGGUGGCGGUGGCGCACGGCGGGGCCGUGGUGGCCGUGCACCGGGCGCCGUGGGGUGCGUCACCUUGUCACCUCCGCUGUCCCCUCCGGGGUCAUUGUCACCUCUGUUUCCCCUCGGUGUCAUUGUCCCCCCCCUCUGUCCCCUCGGUGUCAUUCAUUGUCCCCUCUGUGUCACCAUUGUCCCCUCUGUGUCCCCUCUGUGUCAUUGUCCCCCCUUCUCUGUCCUCUCUGUGUCCCCUCGGUGUCACCCGUUGUCCCCUCUGUGUCCCCUCCGGGGUCAUUGUCACCUCUGUGUCCCCUCGGUGUCAUUGUCCCCCCCCUGUGUCCCCUCGGUGUCAUUCAUUGUCCCCUCUGUGUCACCACUGUCCCCUCUGUGUCCCCUCGGUGUCAUUGUCCCCCCUUCUCUGUCCUCUCUGUGUCCCCUCUGUGUCACUCACUGUCCCCUCUCUGUCCCCUCGGGGUCACUGUCACCUGUGUCCCCUCUCUGUCCCCUUGGUGUCACUCAUUGUCCCCUCUCUGCCCCCUCUGUGCCAUCAUUGUCCCCUCUGUGUCCCCUCUGUGUCAUUGUCACCCCUUCUGUGUCCCCUCUGUGUCCCCAUUGUCCCCUCUGUGCCAUUGUCACCCCUAUGUCCCCCUGUGUCGCUCAUUGUCCCCUCUGUGUCCCCUCAUUGCCAUUGCCAUUGUCAUUGUCAUUGUCAUUGUCCCCUCCCUGUCAUUGUCCCCUCCGUGUCCCCUCCCUGUCAUUGUCAUUGUCCCCUUCCUGCCAUUGUCAUUGUCCCCUCCGUGUCCCCUCAUUGCCAUUCAUUGUCCCCUCCCUGCCAUUGUCCCUGUCAUUGUCAUUGUCCCCUUCCUGCCAUUGUCACUGUCCCCUCUGUGUCAUUGUCCCCUCCGUGUCCCCCCCAUCAUUGUCACUGUCC
rnacentral:lncRNA from 1 species